CCCUGGGCUCCUCGCCGGCCCCCGCGGCGCACAGAGAGCAGCGGCAGUGCUCCAGGGGCACCAGCACCGGCCCCAGCCCUACCCCUCCAAACCUGGGCUGUCCACCAACACCACCUUCGACUGUUUUGAAUUAUGUUAAAUUACAUUAAAUUGCAUUAAAUUAUUAAAUGUUUUGUAUCCACUUUCCUUCACCUCCAUGUGCGUGCAUGUGCCUGCAUGUUCCUUUUGUUCCUGCAGCACCAAAGCACCACCAGACCCCAUUUUCCAACUGCAGGGCAGCACAAAGGGUUGUGUCCCAGGGCUGCCCCCUCCAAAAUCCUCUCCCCUCCUCAGUCAGCACUGAGUGGGAACGUAGGGAUGGGGAAUGGUUGGGCUGGGAUUGCGGGAGAGCUGGGGCGGCUCGGCCUGCAGAAGAGGAGGCUCAGGGGGAUCCCAGGCACGGCCAUCAGUCCCUGCAGGGAGGUGCAGAGAGGACGGAGCCGGGCUGCACCCAGCGGUGCCCAGCAGCAGGACCAGAGGCGCCGGGCACACGCUGCAGCACUGCAGGUUUCCCUGUGUGCCGCCUCUGAGCCCCCACAUCGGGUCAGUGCCAUCGGAUAUUUCUGCCAAUGAUCACAAUGCAGGAGAUGAGUGCAUCCUGGGGAGAUCCACCGGGCAUCCUAAGGCACGAGGUGCUGCCGGCACUCCUGAGGUUGUUAAGGGGCUGCAGGGAGAACUGCAGGGCUCAGGGCAGUAGCUGGGGGCUCUUGGAGGGACUUUGAGGUGCUGCGCGUUCAGAACUGUGUUUUUUCCUCCCGUUUCACACCGAAGGUGGCAGUUCGGCUCCGUACCUCGAGGUGGCAGCAGGACCCCCAACAACGGCACCGUCCGCUGCCCGGAGCCCCGUGUACGGCUGUGAGAAUGAUGGAGGCUGUAAUAAACGUAGCACAUGCACAGGGCUUAUGAUUACUGUGACACAGGGAUGACAUAUUCAUAUAGCCUUUCUACUAGAUGGCCAGAGAGUAUUUCAGUGUUAAAGGGAUAUGAAUCACUGGAGAGUAUUUCAUCAUAGUUUAAGCCUAAGAGGGCACCGUCCUGGAAUAGCAUACAGAGUGAGCCUUAAGUGUUAUUCAGGUUAGAACCCUAAAGCAAAGCAAAACGUAAGAAAACAAACACACAAAACAACAGCCCCUCUCCUCUCCUCUCCUCUCCUCUCCUCUCCUCUCCUCUCCUCUCCUCUCCUCUCC
rnacentral:lncRNA from 1 species